rnacentral:rRNA from 1 species
GACGAACGCUGGCGGCGUGCCUAACACAUGCAAGUCGAACGAAGCAAUAAAGACGGAGAUUCGUCAAAGCCUUUAUUGACUUAGUGGCGGACGGGUGAGUAACGCGUGAGCAACCUGCCUUUCAGAGGGGGACAACAGUUGGAAACGACUGCUAAUACCGCAUAAUGUACAGAGGGGGCAUCCCUUUUGUAUCAAAGGAGAAAUCCGCUGAAAGAUGGGCUCACGUCUGAUUAGCUAGUUGGUGGGGUAAAGGCCUACCAAGGCUGCGAUCAGUAGCCGGACUGAGAGGUUGAACGGCCACAUUGGGACUGAGAUACGGCCCAG